CCGGUGAUGACCAGGUAUUCAGAUGGGCUCGCUACUCUGUACAUGGUUCGUGGUUUGAGAAUGAAGCAUAUAGAAUAUAGAAUAUAUAUGGAGAUGGUUGAGAUGGAGAUCAAGGUAAUUACUGGAGAAUUUAGGCAUUCAAUAGAAUGACAAUUGACUUGAAGAAGUUGGAUGGAUGGCUGCUUAGCUGCUGCUGACUUGGAGAAUUUGGGCACUCAUUGUAUGAGAGCUAUUUCUUAGCUGUGCGCACACAAUGAAUUCUAUGCAUUUCUGCUUACAAAGGGCAAGCGUACGUUCAUAGAAAUUAUUGAUGAAUGGGUUGAUUCAGUAGUUGACUUGGGUGAUGGUACGGAUAAUGCCUCCUCUUGAUUUUUCUUGUAUACUCCAUAUAUGUUAAACAUACAUGGCUGCAAUAUUAUUUUUCCCUCCCCUUCUUUUUUCCAUC